rnacentral:rRNA from 1 species
UACGUAGGGUGCGAGCGUUAAUCGGAAUUACUGGGCGUAAAGCGUGCGCAGGCGGUCUGUUAAGACCGAUGUGAAAUCCCCGGGCUUAACCUGGGAACUGCAUUGGUGACUGGCAGGCUUUGAGUGUGGCAGAGGGAGUUAGAAUUCCACGUGUAGCAGUGAAAUGCGUAGAGAUGUGGAGGAAUACCGAUGGCGAAGGCAGCCUCCUGGGCCAACACUGACGCUCAUGCACGAAAGCGUGGGGAGCAAACAGG